rnacentral:rRNA from 1 species
CGAACUGCCGUUGACAAAACGGAGGAAGGUGGGAUGACGUCAAAUCAUCAUGCCCCUUAUGUUCUGGGCUACACACGUGCUACAAUGGCCGGUACAGACGGACGCAAAGCCGCGAGGUGGAGCAAAUCCUAAAAAGCCGGUCUCAGUUCGGAUUGCAGGCUGCAAUUCGCCUGCAUGAAGUCGGAAUCGCUAGUAAUCGCAGGUCAGCAUACUGCGGUGAAUACGUUCCCGGGCCUU